UGCAAGUCGAACGAUCCUUCGGGAUAGUGGCGGACGGGUGAGUAACGCGUGGGAAUCUGCCCUCAGGAGGGGGAUAACGGCUGGAAACGGCCGCUAAUACCCCAUAUGCCGAGAGGUGAAAUGAAUUUCGCCUGAGGAUGAGCCCGCGUCUGAUUAGCUAGUUGGUGGGGUAACGGCCCACAAGGCGACGAUCAGUAGCUGGUCUGAGAGGAUGAUCAGCCACACUGGGACUGAGACACGGCCCAGACUCCUACGGGAGGCAGCAGUGGGGAAUUUUCCGCAAUGGGCGAAAGCCUGACGGAGCAACGCCGCGUGAGGGAUGAAGGCCUCUGGGCUGUAAACCUCUUUUCUCAAGGAAGAAGACCUGACGGUACUUGAGGAAUAAGCCACGGCUAAUUCCGUGCCAGCAGCCGCGGUAAUACGGGAGUGGCAAGCGUUAUCCGGAAUUAUUGGGCGUAAAGCGUCCGCAGGCGGCUUUGUAAGUCUGUUGUUAAAGCGUGGAGCUUAACUCCAUUUAAGCAAUGGAAACUACAAGGCUGGAGUGUGGUAGGGGCAGAGGGAAUUCCCGGUGUAGCGGUGAAAUGCGUAGAUAUCGGGAAGAACACCAGUGGCGAAGGCGCUCUGCUGGGCCAUAACUGACGCUCAUGGACGAAAGCCAGGGGAGCGAAAGGGAUUAGAUACCCCUGUAGUCCUGGCCGUAAACGAUGAACACUAGGUGUCGGGGGAAUCGACCCCCUCGGUGUCGUAGCCAACGCGUUAAGUGUUCCGCCUGGGGAGUACGCACGCAAGUGUGAAACUCAAAGGAAUUGACGGGGGCCCGCACAAGCGGUGGAGUAUGUGGUUUAAUUCGAUGCAACGCGAAGAACCUUACCAGGGUUUGACAUCCUGCGAACCCCUGAGAAAUCGGGGGGUGCCUUCGGGAGCGCAGAGACAGGUGGUGCAUGGCUGUCGUCAGCUCGUGUCGUGAGAUGUUGGGUUAAGUCCCGCAACGAGCGCAACCCACGUCUUUAGUUGCCAGCAUUCAGUUGGGCACUCUAGAGAGACCGCCGGUGAUAAACCGGAGGAAGGUGUGGAUGACGUCAAGUCAUCAUGCCCCUUACAUCCUGGGCUACACACGUACUACAAUGCUACGGACAAAGGGCAGCAAGCUCGCGAGAGUUAGCAAAUCCCAUAAACCGUGGCUCAGUUCAGAUCGUAGGCUGCAACUCGCCUACGUGAAGGAGGAAUCGCUAGUAAUCGCAGGUCAGCAUACUGCGGUGAAUACGUUCCCGGGCCUUGUACACACCGCCCGUCACACCAUGGAAGUUGGCCAUGCCCGAAGUCGUUACUCCAACCCUUGUGGAGGAGGACGCCGAAGGUGGGGCUGAUGACUGGGGUGAAGUCGUAACAAGGUA
rnacentral:rRNA from 1 species